GUGCCCUUGGUGUACGGAAAACACACAUCUUUCAAUUACCCCUUGAUUCUCCAUACAAGAUGAAUCCGGGGUUCGACUCCCUGAGGGUGCA